rnacentral:rRNA from 1 species
UACGAAGGGUGCAAACGUUGCUCGGAAUUAUUGGGCGUAAAGCGCACGUAGGCGGCCAACUAAGUCGGAUGUGAAAUCCCCAGGCUUAACCUGGGAACUGCAUCCGAUACUGGAUGGCUUGAAUCCGGGAGAGGGAUGCAGAAUUCCAGGUGUAGCGGUGAAAUGCGUAGAUAUCUGGAGGAAUACCGGUGGCGAAGGCGGCAUCCUGGACCGGCAUUGACGCUGAGGAGCGAAAGCGUGGGGAGCAAACAGG